GGAGCUAAUUUAGAGGAGUGGGUGGUAUAUAAGACAGGUCUGAUCCAACUCGGACCUUAGUGUACUUCAGGCUCAGGAUACAGUAAGCUUGUAUCUGACACCACUCCACCACCACCAUGUGUGACGACGAAGUGAGUCCCCUCGUGGUCGACAAUGGCUCCGGGAUGGUCAAGGCCGGCUUCGCCGGUGAUGACGCUCCCCGAGCUGUGUUCCCCUCCAUCGUCGGCCGACCUCGUCACCAGGGUGUGAUGGUCGGCAUGGGUCAGAAGGAUGCCUACGUCGGCGACGAGGCCCAGAGCAAGCGAGGUAUCCUGACUCUCAAGUACCCCAUCGAGCACGGCAUCAUCACCAACUGGGACGACAUGGAGAAGAUCUGGCACCACUCCUUCUACAACGAGCUCCGCGUUGCCCCCUGAGGAGUCCCCCGUCCUGCUCACUGAGGCUCCCCUCAACCCCAAGGCCAACCGUGAGAAGAUGACCCAGAUCAUGUUUGAAGUUUUCAACACCCCUGCCAUGUACGUCGCCAUCCAGGCUGUCCUGUCCCUGUACGCCUCUGGCCGUACCACUGGUAUCGUGCUCGAUACUGGUGAUGGUGUCACCCACACCGUCCCCAUCUAUGAAGGUUACUGCCUUCCCCACGCCAUCCUGCGUCUCGACCUGGCUGGCCGUGACCUGACUGCCUACCUCACCAAGAUCAUGACUGAGCGUGGCUACUCCUUCACCACCACGGCUGAGCGAGAAAUCGUUCGUGACAUCAAGGAGAAGCUUUGCUAUGUCGCUCUUGACUUCGAGAGUGAGAUGAACGUGGCUGCUGCCUCCUCUUCCCUCGAGAAGUCCUACGAGCUUCCCGACGGUCAGGUCAUCACCAUCGGCAACGAGCGCUUCCGCUGCCCCGAGUCCCUCUUCCAGCCUUCCUUCCUGGGUAUGGAAUCUGUCGGCAUCCACGAGACCGUCUACAACUCCAUCAUGAGGUGCGACAUUGAUAUCAGGAAGGACCUGUUCGCCAACAACGUGCUGUCUGGCGGCACCACCAUGUACCCUGGUAUUGCUGACCGCAUGCAGAAGGAAAUCACUGCUCUUGCUCCUCCCACCAUCAAGAUCAAGAUCAUUGCUCCUCCUGAGCGCAAGUACUCCGUAUGGAUCGGUGGCUCCAUCCUGGCUUCCCUGUCCACCUUCCAGACCAUGUGGAUCACCAAGGAAGAGUACGACGAGUCCGGCCCCGGCAUUGUCCACCGCAAGUGCUUCUAAUUUAUACGAGAGUCAUAACUCGUCUUCUAAAUAUUCUAGAGUUAUAUUUUUGGUUAUUACACCUAACAAAGCACUUAAGAUCUUCCCAAUACACGUCAUGUUAUGCCUGAGAAUAGUACACCAGAGGGGACAAACAACAACUAAUUCUACUAUGACACAACAUGCAACAUUUUUUCCUGUUAUCUUUUUUAAUAAGAGCCUAUGCAUAAAUAAACAUCCUCAAUAAA